rnacentral:rRNA from 1 species
AUACGUAGGGGGCGAGCGUUGUCCGGAAUGAUUGGGCGUAAAGGGCGCGUAGGCGGCGCGAUAAGUCUGGAGUGAAAGUCCUGCUUUCAAGGUGGGAAUUGCUUUGGAUACUGCCGCGCUUGAGUGCAGGAGAGGUUAUCGGAAUUCCCGGUGUAGCGGCGAAAUGCGUAGAGAUCGGGAGGAACACCAGUGGCGAAGGCGGGUAACUGGACUGCAACUGACGCUGAGGCGCGAAAGUGUGGGGAGCAAACAGGAUUAGAUACCCUGGUAGUCCACACUGUAAACGAUGAAUGCUAGGUGUAAGAGGUAUCGACCCCUUUUGUGCCGGAGUUAACACAAUAAGCACUCCGUCUGGGGAGUACGGCCGCAAGGUUGAAACUCAAAUGAAUUGACGGGG